UUGUCGCCGGCUGGAUCCGCCCCUGCUUAACACCCUACUGAGGAUAUACCCCCAUUGGAAAAUGAACCGAUCAAUGAAAAGAAAAAAAAUGAGGUGAAUUCGCUACGAGACAUCCAAGAAAAAAUAUUCAAAGCAAAGUAGAAAUAUUGUUGAAGAACAAUAACAAAUCGACGCUUGUGAAGAGGAAAAGUUAAUUUUCCGAUAAGGAAGUCUCUUUGCAUAUCUCAGGCGUCAAUUCGAUUGCGUUAUUACCUGCGCUAAUGAAGCCCGUGGAGACAAUACUGCAUUAGCUAGCAGUUCAACUCAAUAGUUGAACGUUUUGCACGAUAUCACUCAAUCACGGCGCGUCAAAAACCACACCAGUUCCUGACGCAACCUUGCGUCACUAAAUCAAGCCUCGUGUGAAACGGGAAUUAAUCCUUUCCGUCCGUUCAAAUUGUCACCUAGGCCGUUGGAGCGACGGAGAGCUACGAUACGAGGGCAACUAAGGCGGAUGCGUCAAUCUUUUCGCCCCAGGGCGACAUCGUCAGUGCGGGUAUCAACUCAGAUACAGAGUACACCUCCAAGGGUGGCACCAGCAUGUCUACACCUCAUGUAGCAGGUGCUGCUGCUGUUUUCCUUGGUGAUGAUCCAAGCCGGACACCCCUCACGAUCCGUAACAUGAUUUCUAAUGAAGCAACCAGGGAUAAGGUCACUGACACCAUGGGUACCCCUAACCUACUCCUUCAUGUUCCGCAGCAGUAAA